rnacentral:sRNA from 1 species
AUGAAUAACUUAGGUCUGUCGUUAUGUGAGAUAUUUGAUGUUACAAGAUAUCAUACUAGCUCGUACCAUCCUCAAACAAAUGGGUUAGUAGAAAGGUGCAACUCAACUCUGAUAAAGUCUUUCAGAGCAUACUGUGAUAAGGCUCAAAAUAAUUGGCCCGAUAAAUUGCCCGGAAUUUUAAUGGCUUUACGCAAUUCUCCUUCAACUCAAUCAACUGAGUUUUCUCCCUUUCAUUUGCUGUUUGGUAGAGAAAUGAAUCUACCUUUUGACACUUCUGUUACACCUAAACAGAAUUUGUCAUCAGAUGCCAAGCUUCAAAUGGAAGAAGUUCUAUCAAAUCUAAAGAUCACACAAGAUCUUGCCACUAAAAAUAUGUUAGAAAAACAGUUAAAAUCUAAAGAGCGAUACGACCGAAAUUCAAAAAUUCCACAAUUUAAAGUAAGGGAUUUAGUUUCACUUCGGCAACAUGUGGUUCCCGUCGGUCGCUCACCGAAAUUGGUAGACAAGUACAAAGGGCCUUAUUACAUAACUGAGUUGGGACCAAAGUACACAUACAAAUUGAGAAUGUGCAGCACUAAUAAAAAGGUAAAAUCGAUGAUCAAUGCAAAAGAAAUAAUCCUUUACAAGGAUCCAAGAGAUCAUCAGCUGCAACCCAAUGAGGUGGUCACAAAAUCAAGCUAAUAAUGCUGAUAGGGUAGAUCAGCAUGAUCAAGGUGAUGAGAAUGUGCCUCAAGCACAAAAUAGGGAGAAUGAAACCACUGAUGGAAAUGAUGAUCAUCAGUUUUAUAAAGCGGAAAAACUUUUGAAGUUAAAGCGCUUACAAGGUAAACGACAUUUCCUUGUAAAAUGGGCGGACGGCUCAAAACCCACAUGGGAACCAGAGGAAUAUGUUUCAGAACAUUUAAUCAGAGUAUAUUUCAGCACACAUACAAAUACCGGAGCUAAACGAAAGAGAAAAACAUGCAUACGGCAAAAACUAGUCACACAAAACUAUUAA